GAUGAACGCUAGCGACAGGCCUAACACAUGCAAGUCGAGGGGCAGCGGGGGUAGCAAUACCUGCCGGCGACCGGCGCACGGGUGCGUAACGCGUAUGCAACCUGCCCGCAACAGCGGUACAGCUCUUCGAAAGGGGAAUUAAUACCGCAUGACACCGAGAAAUCGCAUGGUUUUUCGGUCAAACAUUUAUGGGUUGCGGAUGGGCAUGCGUGACAUUAGCUAGAUGGAGGGGUAACGGCCCACCAUGGCUUCGAUGUCUAGGGGUUCUGAGAGGAAGGUCCCCCACACCGGUACUGAGACACGGACCGGACUCCUACGGGAGGCAGCAGUGAGGAAUAUUGGUCAAUGGGCGCAAGCCUGAACCAGCCAUGUCGCGUGCGGGAAGACGGCCCUACGGGUCUUAAACCGCUUUUGUACGGGAAGAAAAGGAUCUACGCGUAGAUAUUUGCCGGUACCGUACGAAUAAGCAUCGGCUAACUCCGUGCCAGCAGCCGCGGUAAUACGGAGGAUGCAAGCGUUAUCCGGAUUUAUUGGGUUUAAAGGGUGCGUAGGCGGGGAUUUAAGUCAGGGGUGAAAUUUUGCGGCUCAACCGUAAGACUGCCCUUGAUACUGAAUUUCUUGAGUCGGGUCAAGGCAUGCGGAAUGUGGUGUGUAGCGGUGAAAUGCAUAGAUAUACCACAGAACACCGAUUGCGAAGGCAGCAUGCCGGCCCCGCACUGACGCUGAAGCACGAAAGCGCGGGUAUCAAACAGGAUUAGAUACCCUGGUAGUCCACACUGUAAACGAUGAAUGCUAGGUGUAGGAGGUAUCGACCCCUUCUGUGCCGGAGUAAACACAAUAAGCAUUCCGCCUGGGGAGUACGGCCGCAAGGUUGAAACUCAAAGGAAUUGACGGGGGCCCGCACAAGCAGCGGAGCAUGUGGUUUAAUUCGAAGCAACGCGAAGAACCUUACCAGGUCUUGACAUCCAGGUAAAGCUAGAGAGAUCUAGUGUGUGCUUGCACAAUCUGAGACAGGUGGUGCAUGGUUGUCGUCAGCUCGUGUCGUGAGAUGUUGGGUUAAGUCCCGCAACGAGCGCAACCCUUAUAUUUAGUUACUAACGCGUAGAGGCGAGGACUCUAGAGAGACUGCCGGGGACAACUCGGAGGAAGGUGGGGACGACGUCAAAUCAUCAUGCCCCUUAUGACCUGGGCUACACACGUGCUACAAUGGCCACUACAGAGAGGUGCGAAGUCGAGAGGCGGAGCGGAUCUCAAAAAAGUGGUCCCAGUUCGGAUUGUGGGCUGCAACCCGCCCACAUGAAGUCGGAGUUGCUAGUAAUCGCGAAUCAGCAUGUCGCGGUGAAUACGUUCCCGGGCCUUGUACACACCGCCCGUCACACCAUGGGAGUUGGGAGCGCCCAAAGCCGGUGAGGUAACCUUCGGGAGCCAGCCGUCUAAGGUGAGACCAAUGACUGGGGUG
rnacentral:rRNA from 1 species